AUUGAACGCUGGCGGCAUGCCUUACACAUGCAAGUCGAACGGCAGCACGGGAGCAAUCCUGGUGGCGAGUGGCGAACGGGUGAGUAAUAUAUCGGAACGUGCCCAGUCGUGGGGGAUAACGUAGCGAAAGCUACGCUAAUACCGCAUACGAUCUAAGGAUGAAAGCGGGGGACUCGCAGGAGCCUCGCGCGAUUGGAGCGGCCGAUAUCAGAUUAGGUAGUUGGUGGGGUAAAGGCUCACCAAGCCAACGAUCUGUAGCUGGUCUGAGAGGACGACCAGCCACACUGGGACUGAGACACGGCCCAGACUCCUACGGGAGGCAGCAGUGGGGAAUUUUGGACAAUGGGCGCAAGCCUGAUCCAGCAAUGCCGCGUGCAGGAUGAAGGCCUCGGUUGUAAACGU
rnacentral:rRNA from 1 species